AUNCNNUUUAGGCUGAAAANCUCCCGGUNCCCUUAGGAUGAGUNUNCCGGNCUAUUCAGGUUGUAGUCAGGGUNAAAGNCCUGACUANCNUNCGNCGGAUACGGGUUGUGAGAGCAAUAACCCCGGAGAUGAUAUNUGAGACNCGAUAUCAGGCCCUACGGGGCGCAGCAGGCGCGAAAACUUCACACUGCGCGAAAGCGUGAUGAGGGAAUCCCAAGUGUAUGCACGUAAGUGUAUACUGUUUUUAUGUCUAAAACGCAUGUAGAGUAAGAGCUGGGUAAGACGGGUGCCAGCCGCCGCGGUAAUACCUGCAGCUCGAGUGGUGAUCACUAUUAUUGGGCCUAAAACGUCCGUAGCCUGUCUUAUAAAUGCCUGGGUAAAUCGUGCCGCUUAACGGUACGAAUUCCGGGUAGACUGUAAGACUUGAGACCGGGUGAGGCUAGAGGUACUCCUGGGGUAGAGGUGAAAUUCUGUAAUCCUAGGGGGACCACCAGUGGCGAAGGCGUCUAGCUAGAACGAGUCUGACGGUGAGGGACGGAGCCCUGGGGCGCAAACCGGAUUAGAUACCCGGGUAGUCCAGGGUGUAAACGCUGCUUGCUUGAUGUUAGUCGGGCNCCGAGCCCGAUUAGUGUCGGAGUGAAGAUGUUAAGCAAGCUGCCUGGGAAGUACNNUCGCAAGGCUGAAACUUAAAGGAAUUGAAAGGGGGAGCAC
rnacentral:rRNA from 1 species